GGCGAACGUUAGCGGCGGGCUUAACACAUGCAAGUCGAGCGAGAAAGUGGCUUCGGCCAUCAGUAAAGCGGCGGACGGGUGAGUAACACGUAGGUAAUCUUCCCUUGAGCGGGGGACAACGAGCCGAAAGGCUCGCUAAUACCGCAUAAGUUCCCAGGGUCCUCGGGCCUUGGGAGGAAAGCUAGGUAGCAAUAUCCGGCACUCGAGGAGGAGCCUGCGUCGCAUCAGCUAGUUGGUGGGGUAAUGGCCUACCAAGGCGAAGACGCGUAGCUGGUCUGAGAGGAUGAUCAGCCACACUGAAACUGAGACACGGUUCAGACUCCUACGGGAGGCAGCAGUGGGGAAUAUUGGACAAUGGGCGCAAGCCUGAUCCAGCCACGCCGCGUGAGUGAUGAAGGCC
rnacentral:rRNA from 1 species